AAAACUUUCAACAACGGAUCUCUUGGUUCUGGCAUCGAUGAAGAACGCAGCGAAAUGCGAUAAGUAAUGUGAAUUGCAGAAUUCAGUGAAUCAUCGAAUCUUUGAACGCACAUUGCGCCCUCUGGUAUUCCGGAGGGCAUGCCUGUUCGAGCGUCAUUUCAACCCUCAAGCA
rnacentral:rRNA from 1 species